GUUAGCGUGGUGUAACUGGUAGCACGUAUGUUUUUGCCAAACUUACGGUGCGGGUUCGAAUCCCGUCGCUAGCUCC
rnacentral:tRNA from 1 species